rnacentral:rRNA from 1 species
UACGAAGGGGGCGAGCGUUGUUCGGAAUCACUGGGCGUAAAGGGCGCGUAGGCGGCCCCUCUUAGUCGCGUGUGAAAGCCCCGGGCUCAACCUGGGAACGGCGCGCGAAACGGGAGGGCUGGAGUUCGGGAGAGGAGAGUGGAAUUCCCAGUGUAGAGGUGAAAUUCGUAGAUAUUGGGAAGAACACCGGUGGCGAAGGCGGGUCUCUGGGCAGUAACUGACGCUGAGGAGCGAAAGCGUGGGGAGCGAACAGG